rnacentral:rRNA from 1 species
GACGAACGCUGGCGGCGUGCUUAACACAUGCAAGUCGAACGGAAAGGCCCUGCUUUUGUGGGGUGCUCGAGUGGCGAACGGGUGAGUAUCACGUGAGUAACCUGCCCUUGACUUUGGGAUAACUUCAGGAAACUGGGGCUAAUACCGGAUAGGAGCUCCUGCUGCAUGGUGGGGGUUGGAAAGUUUCGGCGGUUGGGGAUGGACUCGCGGCUUAUCAGCUUGUUGGUGGGGUAGUGGCUUACCAAGGCUUUGACGGGUAGCCGGCCUGAGAGGGUGACCGGCCACAUUGGGACUGAGAUACGGCCCAGACUCCUACGGGAGGCAGCAGUGGGGAAUAUUGCACAAUGGGCGGAAGCCUGAUGCAGCAACGCCGCGUGCGGGAUGACGGCCUUCGGGUUGUAAACCGCUUUCGCCUGUGACGAAGCGUGAGUGACGGUAAUGGGUAAAGAAGCACCGGCUAACUACGUGCCAGCAGCCGCGGUGAUACGUAGGGUGCGAGCGUUGUCCGGAUUUAUUGGGCGUAAAGGGCUCGUAGGUGGUUGAUCGCGUCGGAAGUGUAAUCUUGGGGCUUAACCCUGAGCGUGCUUUCGAUACGGGUUGACUUGAGGAAGGUAGGGGAGAAUGGAAUUCCUGGUGGAGCGGUGGAAUGCGCAGAUAUCAGGAGGAACACCAGUGGCGAAGGCGGUUCUCUGGGCCUUUCCUGACGCUGAGGAGCGAAAGCGUGGGGAGCGAACAGGCUUAGAUACCCUGGUAGUCCACGCUGUAAACGGUGGGUACUAGGUGUGGGGUCCAUUCCACGGGUUCCGUGCCGUAGCUAACGCUUUAAGUACCCCGCCUGGGGAGUACGGCCGCAAGGCUAAAACUCAAAGGAAUUGACGGGGCCCCGCACAAGCGGCGGAGCAUGCGGAUUAAUUCGAUGCAACGCGUAGAACCUUACCUGGGUUUGACAUGGAUCGGGAGUGCUCAGAGAUGGGUGUGCCUCUUUUGGGGUCGGUUCACAGGUGGUGCAUGCCUGUCGUCAGCUCGUGUCGUGAGAUGUUGGGUUAAGUCCCGCAACGAGCGCAACCCUUGUUCACUGUUGCCAGCACGUUAUGGUGGGGACUCAGUGGAGACCGCCGGGGUCAACUCGGAGGAAGGUGGGGAUGACGUCAAGUCCUCAUGCCCCUUAUGUCCAGGGCUUCACGCAUGCUACAAUGGCUGGUACAGAGAGUGGCGAGCCUGUGAGGGUGAGCGAAUCUCGGAAAGCCGGUCUCAGUUCGGAUUGGGGUCUGCAACUCGACCUCAUGAAGUCGGAGUCGCUAGUAAUCGCAGAUCAGCAACGCUGCGGUGAAUACGUUCCCGGG